rnacentral:rRNA from 1 species
UUGCGCAAUGGACGGAAGUCCGACGCAGCGACGCCGCGUGGGUGAAGAAGGCCUUCGGGUUGUAAAGCCCUUUUCUGGGGGAAGAGCAAGGUCGGUACCCCAGGAAUAAGUGUCGGCUAACUACGUGCCAGCAGCCGCGGUAAUACGUAGGACACGAGCGUUAUCCGGAUUUACUGGGCGUAAAGCGCCUGGAGGUGGACGAACAAGUCGGCUGUGAAAGCCCUGGGCUUAACCCGGGGAGGCCAGGCGAUAAUGUUCGAGUGGAGGGUGACAGAGGGGAGUGGAAUUCCCGGUGUAGCGGUAAAAUGCGCAGAUAUCGGGAGGAACACCAGUGGCGCAGGCGGCUCCCUGGGUCAUACCUGACACUGAGAGGCU